CCUACGGGGGGCAGCAGUGGGGAAUCUUCCGCAAUGGACGAAAGUCUGACGGAGCAACGCCGCGUGAGUGAUGACGGCCUUCGGGUUGUAAAGCUCUGUUAAUCGGGACGAAAGGCCUUCUUGCGAAUAGUUAGAAGGAUUGACGGUACCGGAAUAGAAAGCCACGGCUAACUACGUGCCAGCAGCCGCGGUAAUACGUAGGUGGCAAGCGUUGUCCGGAAUUAUUGGGCGUAAAGCGCGCGCAGGCGGAUAGGUCAGUCUGUCUUAAAAGUUCGGGGCUUAACCCCGUGAUGGGAUGGAAACUGCCAAUCUAGAGUAUCGGAGAGGAAAGUGGAAUUCCUAGUGUAGCGGUGAAAUGCGUAGAUAUUAGGAAGAACACCAGUGGCGAAGGCGACUUUCUGGACGAAAACUGACGCUGAGGCGCGAAAGCCAGGGGAGCGAACGGGAUUAGAUACCCUGGUAGUC
rnacentral:rRNA from 1 species